rnacentral:rRNA from 1 species
UACGUAGGGUGCAAGCGUUGUCCGGAAUUAUUGGGCGUAAAGAGCGUGUAGGCGGCCAUACAGGUCCGUUGUGAAAACUGGAGGCUUAACCUCCAGACGUCGAUGGAAACCGUAUGGCUAGAGUCCGGAAGAGGAGAGUGGAAUUCCUGGUGUAGCGGUGAAAUGCGCAGAUAUCAGGAAGAACACCCGUGGCGAAGGCGGCUCUCUGGGACGGUACUGACGCUGAGGAGCGAAAGCGUGGGGAGCAAACAGG